rnacentral:rRNA from 1 species
GGAUCCCAUCAGAACUCCGCAGAUAAGCGUGCUUGGGCGAGAGUAGUACUAGGAUGGGUGACCUCCUGGGAAGUCCUCGUGUUGCACCU